rnacentral:rRNA from 1 species
CGAACGAAUCUCUUUUAGAGAUGAGUGGCGAACGGGUGAGUAAUACAUAGGUAACCUGCCCCUGUGCGGGGGAUAACAGGAGGAAACUCCUGCUAAUACCGCAUAGCCAUGAGCACCGCAUGGAGCUCAUGCCAAAUAUCCUUUAUGGGAUAGCGCAGGGAUGGACCUAUGGCGCAUUAGCUGGUUGGCGGGGCAACGGCCCACCAAGGCAACGAUGCGUAGCCGGCCUGAGAGGGCGGACGGCCACAUUGGGACUGAGACACGGCCCAGACUCCUACGGGAGGCAGCAGUAGGGAAUUUUCGGCAAUGGGGGAAACCCUGACCGAGCAACGCCGCGUGAGCGAAGAAGGCCUUCGGGUCGUAAAGCUCUGUUGUAAAGGAAGAACGGCGCAUACAGGAAAUGGUAUGCGAGUGACGGUACUUUACCAGAAAGCCACGGCUAACUACGUGCCAGCAGCCGCGGUAAUACGUAGGUGGCGAGCGUUAUCCGGAAUCAUUGGGCGUAAAGAGGGAGCAGGCGGCCGCAAGGGUCUGUGGUGAAGGCCCGAAGCUAAACUUCGGUAAGCCAUGGAAACCGGGCGGCUAGAGUGCGGAAGAGGAUCGUGGAAUUCCAUGUGUAGCGGUGAAAUGCGUAGAUAUAUGGAGGAACACCAGUGGCGAAGGCGACGGUCUGGGCCGCAACUGACGCUCAUUCCCGAAAGCGUGGGGAGCAAAUAGGAUUAGAUACCCUAGUAGUCCACGCCGUAAACGAUGGUCACUAAGUGUCGGGGGUCAAACCCCG